UGCAGGCCAGGUUGCAUCGAUCAAUGGAAAUCUUUUCAACCGACCUCCUCAAUAUCCUUCAUCCCGGCCACCUGUACACCAUUUUAGUAGCUCCCAUGCCCAGCAGGGUCAACAGCAGCAGCCACCAUCCAUGUUGGCUACCAACCAGCAGCAGCAAUCAGAUCCCAAAUGGACAAACUCGUCUCAGCUUCUCAGUCGAAGUCCGGAUGGCCAAGCAAAGCCUUAGAAGAUGUCUGUACAUAUAAUAUAUUAUCUAGCA
rnacentral:misc_RNA from 1 species